CAAAACUGCACUCCAUCUAGCACUGAAGUCUGUCACUGCUCUGUUGUGGAGCAUCAGCCCUGAAAUACACAGUCCCAACGGCAAGACAUCUUGGCUGCAUGGGACGAAGGGGGAUCACAGAUUCAUUAAGAGGAUGACAGAACAAGACGAAGAGGAAGCCAGCACAGGGUCACAUCUGAAAUUGAUUGUGGAUGCUUUCCUGCAACAGCCCCCCCCACUGUGUCAACCGUGACUUGAUUGACAAGAUGCUGCAUGACCUGCUGAGUUCUUCCAGCACCUUGUGUGUGAUACUCUGGAUUUCCAGCAUCGAUGUCCUUAAAGUCGGGUGAAAAAUAUAUCUUGACUUGCUGAUGCUGAAUUGAAAUGGCAUUGCUGUAGAACAUCAAUAA